rnacentral:lncRNA from 1 species
CUCGGGUCCCCUUACACAUUGUGGAAGCUUUGUUCUUUCACUCUUUGCUUUAAAUCUUGCUGCUGCUCACUCACUCUUUGGGUCCACACUGCUUUUAUGAGCUGUAACACUCACUGCAAAAGUCUGCAGCUUCACUCUUGAAGCCAGUGAGACCAGGAGCCCACCAGGGAGAAAGAGCAACUCCAGAUGCGCUGCCUUAAGAGCUGUAACACUCACCGCAAUGGUCUGCAGCUUCACUCCUGAGCCAGCGAGACCCCGAACCCACCAGAAGGAAGAAACUCCGAACACAUCCAAAUAUCAGAAGGAACAAACUCCAGACGCGCCACCUUAAGAGCUGUAACAUUCACCGCGAGGGUCCGCGGCUUCAUUCUUGAAGUCAGUGAGACCAAGAACGCACCAAUUCUGGACACACCAUCAGCAGUGUUGAGACUUUCUUGCAAAAAUGCCUGUUUGGGAUUCCUCAGAGUACAGACAAAAAGGAAGGCUUGAUCAGCAUGUGGUGGAUCUGAAGAUUCAAAGAGGUGCCACAGCUCAAAAGUAGACAUUUUGGCAAAUGUGAAGAAGUGAGAUUCAAUGAAGAUGAUAAGAAAUGAAAGGUGUUACCAAAAGCAUCCUGUGGUGACUGAAGAAGGGCCUAGCAGCAAAGGGACUCCAUCGCCCGAGGAGCAGCUUCCGCAGGAGCUCUGGGGGUUGUCUGCUUAUGAGCUGCACCACCGAGCAGCAUGCCUAUCAGCGAGAAGGUGCCUGACAAUUCUCAGUUGAAAUGUCCUGACCAAGUUCCCCCAGAAAUUUAUGACUAAUAACAAAAGGGAAAAGCUACCCUCACAAGGAGAUGUCCAGUUGACACUAUCUCAACCAAAAUUAUUAAACAUAGCAUCAGCAAUCGUGGGACAAACAGACGCAAACAUCUCCUGGUGUGAGGCGGUGCAGAGGAAGGACUUGCUGACAUCUGUGAGGAAGAGAACAAUUGUGCAUGUCCAGAGACGCCAGUGCAGGAAAAGACCUAUCUGUGAAGGCGGUGUCCAGAGCAGACCCAGAUGUCACUGGGGGGUCCCUCCAGCAGGGUGGGGUCCAGCUCUUCUGACCCCAGCCCAGCCCCCUCCCCUGGACCCUGUAGGGUUGUUCAGCAAGAUUCAAAGCUGCAACCUGGGGGCCAGUAAACAGGGCAAUGCCAAGGCAGUGGGCAGGAGGGCUGGAGAGGGAUUUUAUCGACACUGAAGACCCGAGGACCUCAACUGUGGGAUGAGACCAGGUCCUUCAGGAGAACAAUCACAAGAGAGGGAAAGAGGAAAAGGACUAGAGCUAAAAAAGGAGCUCAUGAGUCAGAAAGAGGAUAAAAGACAGCCAGCAUAUAAGAGGAGAUCAAUUACCUGCUGGUGGCUGCCUGUAAUGGUGGAGUCUUCCAAUUCUGUGAAGCAAGCAUCAGAGUGUCCGGAGGAGCAGCGGUGAUGGGGUGGCCAUAAGAAGGAAAGGGGAGAGUUAGAGUCGAGAGAACCACUCAGACCCCGCUGUCCUGGGGCUGUGGAGCCAACCCCAGAGCCUCUGAUGUGCUCAUUUCUGGAGCCUUCUCCACAGCCUGUAUCAUUUCCUCUGUGCUAUGAGGGAGGGACCUCUGACUUCCCAUGUACUUUCCCAGCCCUCACAUUCCAUAACUGAGCCAAGGGAGGGGAAGCCGUGUCAUUCUGUUCCUCCAAGAGGCAGCGCCCUCUUCACAACGUUGUGCGUGACAUGGAGUUCCCUCCCUUCUCCUCCUGUAGGGCCUGUUUCUGUUCCCGCAUGAAUCCCAUUUCCUUUCACCCUGUGGACCUCCACCAGUCCUACUGUUCUCCAAAAUAAGAACACUGGAAAGAAGGUCAAGGCUGCACUGCCAGGGCCUCCAAUCAACCCACGGAUCGCACCCUGGGUCAGCAGCACCUCCCACAGGCCUGGGGUUGUGUUGGGGCCUGCGGGAGGUGAUGAUGGCCGAUGUCACUUAUACAGUGACUGUUCUAUGCCUGGAGUGACCUUAGAGACUUGGAAAAUAUUCAGCCCUCAAAAGAAUCCCAGCAGCUUCUGAAUAUUUGGAAACAAUGGAACAGAAUUCAAGGACUCCAGGAUGCUGGGGCACACGUAGGAAUCCCAGAGGAAGGAUUCCCUGUGUCAUCCGACCCAGGGAGCACCCUUAGAGCAGGAGCAGACAGUGAGGACAGGACAGGAAGGUGCUGUUGCAGGUCCCAAGAGUGUAGAGAAAGACAGUGGGCUCCUUUCACCUCCUGGCACACGUAUGAAGGACUUUGUCUUCAGGAUCACGUAGCGCCUAUGUGGGGCUGUGUCCCACCCCACACUCAACUUUACACCUGCAUACUCAUCUUGUGAUCUCUAUUCACAAAAAAAUGCUACCUCAUCAAAACCCAGGGCUCUGGUGCUUACUGUGGCAAAGGCAGGAAUGAUCUGGUCUUCUGCAAAAUGUAAUAUUUAAACACCAGAGCAAGAAAUGAUGGUGACAUACACAACUCGCACAAAGCCCAUGAGAACAAAACUCUUAGGACUUUCUCAUUAAGAUACAAAAAAUCCCAAGUCAGACUUCUACACCUGUUUCAUAUUUAGUCACUUCACUGAUCCCAUCCUAGGCUCCAAAAUAAGUGUAACCCAAUUCCCAAGAACCCUGUCUCACUGGUCAACCCUGGAGUGUUGGUCCCUACCUGACCAGUCUAUUUCCUCCUGGAUGGAUCCAGAGGUGGUGCCCAUGAGCCCAUGUACAGAGACACAAACAUUAGUACUACUGCUCUGUCCACUGUGAUUCUCCCUGGGCUCUGUGAACUCAGGGGCCUUUAUGAAGGCACUGCUCACAGUUGUGAGCCUUCAGGUAAGACAGAGGACCUGAAAUAAUCCCUUUCAACUGUUCACCGACACUGGCUCAUAGCAUCUCUUACCUCCAAUCUGAGAACCUGAGAUUCCAGCCUUGAUGCAAAUGCACUGAGUUAGGUGGGUGCAGAGAACAGAACCUGGGCCAGACUCACAGCAGCUGCUUCCCAGGUGAUUCUGGGAGAAUGGAGAUGCUCUCUUAAGAGUAGACUUUUGGCAACUGGGAACUUCUAGCAUGGCUCUUGUGAGGAGGUUAUGAAUUUUUUCAUUUAUUUUAACAUGAAUGGGCACAUAUGCCACUGAGGACCAUACUGGAAUGCACAGGUCUAAACCCAAAGAUGAGGAAGAUGUGACUCUCCCCCCUGGUGAUUCCUGGCAGAGUGGUUUGCUGCUGUGAUCUGAUCAUUCAUGGAUGGGUACUUCAGGGGCACAGGAACAAGCUCCAGGCCCCCUGUGAAGUGCAGGGAUGCCACAACAAAAAUAAAAAAGCCUGGUCCAGCAAAGGAGGACUCGUAAACAGAAAAACAGCCUCUUCUGCAAGGAGAAAAGCUGAACCAAAGUAGCCAGGGUAGAGAUGAGGGGGACACUUCAUUGACUUCAGGAGCCCACCCUAUUCUCCUGUGACCUUGGAUCAGAAUCCACUAAGGUUUCUAAAUUACUAUGAGAAACAACAGAUUGAAGGAGAUGAGCAGGAAGCCUUUUCACACUGGUGCUGGAUCUCAGCAAAGGGUUUGGAAGCAUUGGAACAUUACUGGGGCCCAAGAUGGGCUGCCCAGGGCUAAGCUCUGGGAUGAGAAGGAACGAGGAGGACAUAGUCCUUCCCCUCCGUGACCAGCCAUGGCCAGGAUUCAUCUACACAUAAGUAAAGCAAAACAGAGUUUAGGACUAACAAUUCCAAGACUAUCUCAGAGAAAAGGCAAAGUGAUGUCUUAUACAUCACACAGGAGAGUUGCAAGGACCACCUGGACUCUGGAGCAGCCCCACUCCCUUUGCUGAGUUCACCUUGCACUGAAGCAGGGUCUGUUCUCACCUCCUCUGCAACUAGUGUGGGGCAGGUAUCCUGCCUGAUGAUUAUUUCAUUAAAUACAAUAGAAUAUGCCACUGAUUAUUGUCUGCUUUUGAAAAGGAGCUGAGGAAUGAUUUCACCAUUCUAGACCAAAAGCCUGAGGACUGUGUGUGUUUUACAUUAAUGAUCACACUAAAGCCCACUGUGCAAUGUACCUACUCAAACAAACCCUGGGUUAGCUGACCAUUGAGACCAUCUGAUAACGAUAGUGUUUGGGAUCUGAAUAGCUUUUCAUUCUCCCACAUGCACACAGAAUUGCUGGAAUAACUUGGCCUAGCAAGAAAUUAUACCAGGGCUUUGUGACAAAUUCAGUGUACUAGCUCAUGGCAUUAACCUUCCACUCAUCCCCGAGUUCACAUGUGCCUCUUGCACUUAAAAGACCAAGAGCUUGGGAAAUUCAACUCUGCAGCGUGUCCAUCUGAGGACUGGGUAUAUUAAACUUAUCUUCAGGUACAGCUGUGGUGGACGAUGAAUGGGUUGAUUUAUGCAAACUGUGCAGUGGUGAUGGAAUUUUUCUUGGACAUUGAUCCUCGUGUUGUGCUUUGAACAUGGGAGUAUGUUUUCUGGGGAAAUGCACACACACUCACAAAGACAUCCACAAUCAUUCCAUAUAGACUCUCUCCUCUGUCCCUCCCAACUCUGAUGUACUACCCCACCUUACAUGACACUGCUGCUUCCAGGGAUGACAGUAGCAUGGUUAGAGUACUGGACUCUUAGUUUGUUGGGGUGUUUUUUUUUUUGUUUGUUUUUGUUUUUUUUUUUGAGACGGAGUUUCGCUCGUUGCCCAGGCUGGAGUGCAAUGGCACAACCUUGGCUCACCGCAACCUCUACCACCUGGGUUCAGGUGAUUCUCCUGCCUUGGCCUCCUGAGUAGCUGGGAUUGCAGGCAUGUGACACCACACCCAGGUA